AACGAACGCUGGCGGCAGGCUUAACACAUGCAAGUCGAACGGUUGUAGCAAUACAGCAGUGGCAGACGGGUGAGUAACACGUGGGAACCUUCCUAGGGGUACGGAACAACUCAGGGAAACUUGAGCUAAUACCGUAUACGUCCGUGAGGAGAAAGAUUUAUCGCCCUUAGACGGGCCCGCGUCGGAUUAGCUAGUUGGUGGGGUAACGGCCUACCAAGGCGACGAUCCGUAGCUGAUCUUAGAGGAUGAUCAGCCGCACUGGGACUGAGAUACGGCCCAGACUCCUACGGGAGGCAGCAGUGGGGAAUCUUGGACAAUGGGCGCAAGCCUGAUCCAGCCAUGCCGCGUGAGUGAAGAAGGUCUUCGGAUUGUAAAGCUCUUUUGCCAGGGACGAUAAUGACGGUACCUGGAGAAUAAGCCCCGGCAAACUUCGUGCCAGCCGCCGCGGUAA
rnacentral:rRNA from 1 species